UAUAUAAACUUUAUAAACCCUUUUUACUACUAGAGAAAUUUCAAUGUUUUUGAGGACUUUUGAAUUAAUUUCUGCAUAGACAUUCAAUAAUGAAAAAGUAUAAGGUGAAACAUUUACGCUGAAGGAAAAAAAUGCUAUUUUGGAACACACGUGAACCUUUUGUGCUUCAGCAGAUGGUCAUGUGUUGCAGUAUUUUCACGAUGAAUACCUGCCUAUCAUGUUAGACGCCAUAUUGAAUUUACCAGAUGGAAACAAGGAUGUAAGGGAUAGACUUUGGCUGUGUUCAAAACCACAUAUAGGCUACUCUCUUGAGUAAGUAGGGUGCUUAUUUUGAAUACAUAAUUGUUUUGCAACAUCUAAAAAGUAUGUGUGCACUAUGCAUGUAACAUACAGCGGAUAAAAUAAGUACUGAACACGUAACAACCCAAGUAAUUCAUACAGUACAUGCAAAUUAAACAAAGAAAUUCAGAAAUUAAGUUAUGUGUAAUAAAAUGGAAUGACGGAGGGAAAAAGUACUGAAGUACUGAAAUUGAUUUAAUACUUUGUACAAAAGCCUUUGUUUGUAAUGACAGCUUCAAUAUGCCUCCUGUAUGGAGAAACUGUGAUUUUGGCCCAUUCUUCCACAGAGUCUUCAAAUCUUGAAGGUUCUGUUGGCCUCUUAUGAACUCUGAUCUUUAGUUUUUAUUUUCUAUUGGAUCCAAAUCAGGUGAUUGGUUGCCAAUGGUUGGGCCAUUCUAGCAGCUUUAUUUUUUUUCUGAAACCAAUAGCUGUGUUUGGGAUCAUUGUUUUGUUGAACUUUGUUUCAUCAUCAUCCGGGUACUGUAGGUGUUGGGACUGAACCAGCUAAUAUUAAUUUCCACUGACUUCCGCAGGAUUGGGUUCUAAUUACUGAUAGAUUUCAGCUGGUGUCUUGGCUUUCCUGGCCUUCUUGUACCUCCCUUUCUUCAUAUGUCCAAUACAUUUUCCCUAUGUCAUUCCCAUAUUAUUAAGUAGAACUUAAUUUCUGAACAUAUUUGUUUUCUUUCUUUGUAUAUAUGGAUUACUUUGGUUGCUACCAACAUCUGGUGAAAAUUUCAUGUCAACGGCACCUUUAGAAAUAUUUUACUGAGAAAAAUGGUGACGUAUUCAAUACUUAUUUUACCCACUGUAGAUGUAAUCUGGACACACUAUAUUUUCCAUGUUGACAGAUCACAUGACCUACUAGCAUCAGUUGCGUCGCUUCAGUGCCAACCAUGAAUCCUCUCCCAUGGUCUCAGUGUUUACAUUAUGCACACUUCAGAAUCUCACAGGAAAUCUAGAGCAGAGGACAGAAAAUAACUCUCUUAGACGCUGAGUGGGAAGAGUCUUUGGGAGGCUGCAUUUACUUCCGCUUCUAUUUUCAGAGGCCCAUCUCCUCAUCAAGAGCUCCUUUUUUUGUCAUCCCAGACUACUCUCUGAAUCCAUCCAUCUUUUACUUAGUUGAUUCCUAUUUGUUUAUGAGUUUCUUCCAGCUGUGAGAAGUUUUUUUAUUUUUAUUUUUUAUUUCAAGAACAUCCUGACCUCCAAAUGUCCUUGAUUUAAAACAUACAGAU